AUUGAACGCUGGCGGCAUGCCUUACACAUGCAAGUCGAACGGCAGCACGGGAGCAAUCCUGGUGGCGAGUGGCGAACGGGUGAGUAAUAUAUCGGAACGUGCCCAGUCUGGGGGAUAACGUAGCGAAAGCUACGCUAAUACCGCAUACGAUCUAUGGAUGAAAGCGGGGGAUCGCAAGACCUCGCGCGAUUGGAGCGGCCGAUAUCAGAUUAGGUAGUUGGUGNGGUAAAGGCUCACCAAGCCGACGAUCUGUAGCUGGUCUGAGAGGACGACCAGCCACACUGGGACUGAGACACGGCCCAGACUCCUACGGAGGCAGCAGUGGGGAAUUUUUGGACAAUGGGCGCAAGCCUGAUCCAGCAAUGCCGCGUGCAGGAUGAAGGCCUCGGUUGUAAC
rnacentral:rRNA from 1 species